rnacentral:rRNA from 1 species
UGCAGCGACGCCGCGUGGGGGAUGACGGCCUUCGGGUUGUAAACCUCUUUCAGUUCAGAACAAGGCUCUUUGUGGGUUGAGGGUAUGCGCAGAAGACGCGCCGGCUAACUACGUGCCAGCAGCCGCGGUACUACGUAGGGCGCGAGCGUUGUCCGGAAUUUUUGCGCGUACAGAGCUCGUAGGCGGUUUGUCGCGUCUGCUGUGAAACCCUCUGGCUUAACUGGGGGCGUGCUGUAGGUACGGUGAGACUGAAGUGCGGUGAAGGAGACUGGAAUGCGUAGUGUAGCGGUGGAAUGCGCAGAUAUCAGGAGGAACACCGGUGGCGAAGGCGGGUCUCUGGGCCGUUACUGACGCUGAGGAGCGAAAGCAUGGGG